CCUACGGGAGGCUGCAGUGAGGAAUAUUGGUCAAUGGGCGUAAGCCUGAACCAGCCAAGUCGCGUGAGGGAUGAAGGUUCUAUGGAUCGUAAACCUCUUUUAUAAGGGAAUAAAGAGUGGGACGUGUCCUCUUUUGUAUGUACCUUAUGAAUAAGGAUCGGCUAACUCCGUGCCAGCAGCCGCGGUAAUACGGAGGAUGCGAGCGUUAUCCGGAUUUAUUGGGUUUAAAGGGUGCGUAGGCGGAUCGUUAAGUCAGUGGUCAAAUCGAGGGGCUCAACCCCUUCCCGCCAUUGAAACUGGCGAUCUUGAGUGGAAGAGAAGUAUGCGGAAUGCGUGGUGUAGCGGUGAAAUGCAUAGAUAUCGCGCAGAACCCCGAUUGCGAAGGCAGCAUGCCGGCUUCCGACUGACGCUGAAGCACGAAAGCGUGGGGAUCGAACAGGAUUAGAUACCCCAGUAGUC
rnacentral:rRNA from 1 species